UUUAAAUGAUUGUGAUUAUUAAUAUCCUAAUUAGAUUAUAUUUUAUUUGUAAAUUGUUGGAGUGAUGUUAGAUAUAUUAUGGUUUUAUAAAAUUAGUAUGUAAAGGUGUUUUAUGUGUAUUUUGGACAUUAUUUAAAAAUAAAAAAGAUGAUCGAUGCCAGGUUAUCCAUGCAUUUACCAGUCUAAGGUUCGAUUCCCUACAUAAUAAUAAUUGGAGUUGGUACCGUUUAAAAAUCCAUGGAACUAUGUAAUGGGUGUGAAUGUUUCCAACGUGAAUAAUACAAUACAUAUUAUAACAUAUUUGAUUAAUAAAUAAAAAAAUGAAAUAAUUUUUUUUUAUAUAGUCUAUCAUUAUUCUACAAAAAUCAAAUAAAUUCAAUUGCACCGUUUCGACUAUCCUGUCUCUUUCCACCAAAACGUAAAGACAAUUUGAUAGUAAGAGACAGAAGAGAGAAAGAGAAGAAUGCAAUAAGAAUGUUUUAGUUUUUAUAGUAUGUGUAGGGUUUACUUUUAUAAUAUGAUUAUAAGAAGCUAUAUAUUGUCACCGAAGAGAUGUAUGCAACUCUAGACAUAAACAAAAAAGACCUUUUUAAAUAUAUUUUUCUUUGUUAUUAUCUUGUAAAUAAUGGAAAUGUUUUGUUAUAUUAAAAUUUACUGUUUA